rnacentral:tRNA from 1 species
GGGCGGUUAGUUCAGUGGUAGAACAUUCGCUUGACAUGCGAAAGGCCGCAGGUUCGAUCCCUGCACCGCCCA